rnacentral:lncRNA from 12 species
CGAGCCCCGGCGGUCUAGCUGCCCAAAAGCAUUGUUUCAUUGGGAACGCUGUGAUGUGGACUAGUGGAACCACGGGAGCACCUCCCGGAUUGCGAGGAGCACAUGCAUCACCCAGGAAUCUUGAUGAAAUGCAGCUCCCUUCCACAGAGCCCACGCCGCCCAGGGAGUACCUGGACGUGGACACAGAGGCGUGCGCUCAGCCCACAGGGGGUCAGAGCCGCAAGUCACGCGGGUGAACCCCACUGUUGGAGGCCUGGGCUGUGUCCAGGGCGUGGACACUCA